rnacentral:rRNA from 1 species
GACGAACGCUGGCGGCGUGCUUAACACAUGCAAGUCGAACGGAAAGGCCCUGAUUUUGUGGGGCGCUCGAGUGGCGAACGGGUGAGUAACACGUGAGUAACCUGCCCUUGACUUUCGGAUAACUUCAGGAAACUGGGGCUAAUACCGGAUAGGAGCUCCUGAUGCAUGGUGGGGGUUGGAAAGUUUCGGCGGUUGGGGCUGGUCUCGCGGCUUAUCAGCUUGUUGGUGGGGUAGUGGCUUACCAAGGGUUUGACGGGUAGCCGGCCUGGGAGGGUGAACGGCCACAUGGGGACUGAGAGACGGCCCAGACUCCUACGGGAGGCAGCAGUGGGGAAUAUUGCACAAUGGGCGGAAGUCUGAUGCAGCAACGCCGCGUGCGGGAUGACGGCCUUCGGGUUGUAAACCGCUUUCGCCUGUGACGAAGCGGGAGUGACGGUAACGGGUAAAGAAGCACCGGCUAACUACGUG